ensembl:lncRNA LINC01431 long intergenic non-protein coding RNA 1431
CGCGCUUACCGGGAGCCCGGGUUGGGAGAGGGCUCCCCAGGAGGGGUGUGAGCUCCGAACGAGAAAGAACGCCACCGCCUCGUGGGGUCUCUUCCUAAUGUGCAGAUUCCAAAUCUCUACAAUGCUGCAAAAGAGCAGCAACAGGUGUGCACCUUCCAAGCUUGCAACAGACCACAUUCAGAAGCUUGAUUUCUUGUUGUUCUGGGAAUAUCUGGAUCAGAGACCUUGCUGUCACCACUACUCCGGGACCUGGAAGUUAAAGCGAGGGAGAGACGGUGAAACACAGAAAGCAGAACGCCUUCUGUUCUUCCACAACACAGGGUUUGUGGACGUGGCCACUAUAAGAACUCGCACUGCGUGCUGAUUAUACUCCUCAGCACAAUUCAUUUCUUAAACUUUUUAGAAUAAUUUAAAAUUUACAAAAAGUUGCAAAAAUAAAAACCAGUAAACUUUU